GUUCCGCUCCUCGUGGUGCGUCAUUUCUGCUUCUCCGCCUUCUCGCCAGUCUUGCUGGGUGGUCUCUGCUUCUCUGCUCCUCACUCUUCAUAAGAAAAUAGUUAAUUAGCAAGAGUGGCUGACGAUUUGUCAAUUUCUUGAGUUGUUGGGUGUUCAGCUAACUGGUGGUGAUGGGUAGCUAGAAGAGGAUUUUGGAUUCGGAUCCACUUAUUAAGCCAUGGCAAAUCCCUCACCUGAUUCAAUCAAUGAUGUCAUUUGCAAACAUAUUUCUGGGUUGAACUGCAUAUUUUUUCUUUUGUUAAUCUCCUUAUAUGUUGUAUUGUGUUGUGUUCUUUUUACUGGCAUAAAGUCACUCUUGUUAUAUGGUAAAAAUGUCUAGAAUGAGGUAAUUGUUAAGAAUGUAGUUUAGAAGAUUUUUUUAUUUUUAUUGGUACUAUUUACAUCUAAAUAAUAGAGGAACUUUGUAUUAAUUACUAUGAAUAAAUUAUCUCUAUUAAUAUUUUUA